rnacentral:lncRNA from 10 species
CGGGAGGGGGCGCACUCGGCGGCAGCCCCACUUGGCCGGGGCCGGCUGCGCACGGCUGGAGCUGGAGGGAGCGCGGAUGGGGGAAAGGCUGCACCGCAUGGACUCCGCGGGCACAGGGGCAGGUGCAGCAAUGAGGGUGUCAGAGAAGACUCGGGGCCCUGCUUCCCGGAGAACACGUGUUUCAGUCAGCCUGUGAGUCGCCGCCUAUUUGCCUUUAGGAUGCUAGUCUACAUUUGUGACAACCAAUCCACUUUUCAUUAGAAUUGGCAUUAGCCACCAAUCGACCUUUCCCUGGGUUCUGAAAUUCCUAAUUUUAAAGCAUGGCCAUUUGCAAAAGCUUUAGUUUGAUAAAGCGGCCACAGAACUGGCCACAAGGCUAUCAAGUUCCUUUCCUCCUGUGCAUGCAUGGCUGUUUUCAGGCAGAGCUGUUGAGGGAUCCUCCAGCGUAAAGGCAGGUCUGUUCAAUGCAGGACACCGUCUCAAACAACUCCCUGACCACCCACAAACGCUUUUCUGAAUAUUUGACACAUGCUCUCGGUAUACACUGCAGACCAAUUACUAAUAACACUACUGAGACAGCAUUAAUUACCCAGAGCUCCAUUUCAAGGUUGUACUUGGAAGGUAUCCAGUCUGCGCCUGGGAGGGGACUGCAGCACAUCCCUGGCCAGUCAGAAAACAGAUUCAUCUCCCAAAACAUUGCCUGUCUUAGCUUGAAGUUGUAGCAAAGUGACAUGACGGCUGCCUAGAAGUGGCAGCAGGUCAGCUGAGCAGGCCAGGCCAUGUCCCAGCAGGCAGCAGGCGAGGCGCCAGGUGUAGAGGGAGAUCCUGGAAAAUGACACACAGGGGCCGGGUCAGAGUGAACUCUUUGUGGACUGUCCGCCACGGCCCUGGGUUAGCCAGCCUGGCAGAUGGCGCUUGGGACUAAAAUUCUCCAUCUCGCAGGAAAAGAGAGCAGCUCUCUUUUUAUUACUUCAUUGAUCAAACAACAGUCAAAGAGCAGUUGCUAUGUGCUAGGAAUAAUUCUGGGUGCCUUCAGGAGGUUUAGUGUGGUAGUGAGGGACGGAAGGAAGUGUAAUUGAACUGACAAGGCCAGGUCAGCAUGAGAGGGAGGCAGGCUGGGGAAAGCUGGACUCGCCACCUGUUGUGAGGGAGGGUGGUUGGGCCAGGUGGGAAUGUAGGUCACGG